rnacentral:misc_RNA from 1 species
AUGGCGUGACGUCGCGGCGCGUCUCGCGUUGGAGACCUCGUGAGAACGUCGCGGAAGGGCCUUCGGCGUAUUAAAAUGCGUCCUGCUCCUCAGAGGUUGAGCGUUACGUAAGGGUCGGCGGUGCGUCGGCAAUCUUUUCGGGUCUCGGCGGCGGCGUCGGCGGCGGCGGCCAAGCGGGAUCGAGUCGCAUCGCGUAGCCUCUGGCGGCGGGGCGCGAGGCGAGGCGAGGCGAGAGAGUCGAGCCGAAGCGAGCCGAGCGAGCCGCUCUCGGCACCGGGGGGUCCGGACCUCUCCGCACGGAGCCAGGCCUCAAGAUGUCGGGGCACAGCAGCCGCAGCCGCGCCGUGCACAUCGGCUCGAUCUUCCAAAAGCUCCAGGGUCGCUUCGCCGACGCGAUGACGCCCCCGAAGCUCUCGACCGACAAGCGGAUGCUCGACAAGACCUGGAAGCUCAUGGACAAGGUGGUCAAGCUAUGCCAGCACCAGCGCAUGAACCUGAAGAACUCGCCCCCGUUCAUCCUGGACAUCCUGCCGGACACGUACCAGCGACUCAGGCUCAUCUACAGCAAGUACGAGGACCGCAUGCACGUCCUCCACGCCAACGAGCACUUCUGCGUCUUCAUCAACAACCUGAUGCGUAAGUGCAAGCAGGCCAUCAAGCUCUUCAAGGAGGGCAAGGAGAAGAUGUUCGACGAGACCUCCCACUACCGGCGGAAUCUCACCAAGCUCAGCCUCGUCUUCAGCCACAUGCUCUCCGAGCUCAAGGCCAUCUUCCCCAACGGCGUCUUCGCCGGGGACCAGUUUCGCAUCACCAAGUCCGACGCAGCCGAAUUCUGGAAGGAACGCUUCGGUAACAGCACCUUGGUGACGUGGAAGGAGUUCAGACAUGAACUUAAUCAAGUUCAUCCUAUAAGCUCGGGACUGCAAGCUAUGGCUUUAAAGUCAACGAUAGAUCUUACAUGCAACGACUACAUCUCAAAUUUUGAGUUCGAUGUAUUUACCAGGUUAUUUCAGCCAUGGUCGACCCUUUUACAAAAUUGGAAGAUCCUAGCGGUUACGCAUCCUGGAUACGUGGCUUUCCUCACGUAUGACGAAGUGAAAGCUCGUUUACAAAAAUAUUGUAUAACUAAACCUGGGAGCUAUGUCUUUCGGUUAAGUUGUACAAGGUUAGGGCAAUGGGCAAUUGGCUAUGUUACGUCAGAUGGUGAUAUUCUUCAAACUAUACCACACAAUAAGAGUCUAUGUCAAGCAUUAUUAGAUGGGUAUCGGGAAGGCUUUUAUUUAUAUCCUGAUGGACGUAAUAUAAAUCCUGAUUUGACGUGGGCAGUACAGCCAACUCCGGAAGAACAUAUAAAAGUGACUGCAGAACAGUACGAGUUGUACUGCGAAAUGGGUAGCACGUUCCAGUUAUGUAAAAUCUGUGCGGAACAUGACAAGGAUGUGAGAAUAGAACCUUGCGGCCAUCUCCUUUGCACUCCAUGUCUCACGGCUUGGCAGGAUUCGGAAGGUCAAGGUUGUCCUUUUUGCCGAGCGGAGAUUAAGGGUACGGAACAGAUUGUAGUGGACCCAUUUGAUCCUCGAAGAACCCAUCGUCCUGGAGCGCAUUCUGCGUCGGCGAGUAAUGCGUCGACCCCUACGCGGGACCUUGACCCUGACACCGAGGUAUCCGACUAGGACUAGUAUCUACCCUCCAUUAUCAAACGUGCCCUAUGUGUAACGACCUCCCACGGACAUUAUGGAGCUAUGCAACGGCAACUGCGGUCUCAUGUGCGACGACUCCGACGAAGAGGAGGAUUCGAGUCCACCCAGUUCCCCGGUGCCACCUCGAAGAAU